rnacentral:rRNA from 1 species
GAGCGGGCGUAGCAAUACGUCAGCGGCAGACGGGUGAGUAACGCGUGGGAACGUACCUUUUGGUUCGGAACAACCCAGGGAAACUUGGACUAAUACCGGAUAAGCCCUUACGGGGAAAGAUUUAUCGCCGAAAGAUCGGCCCGCGUCUGAUUAGCUAGUUGGUGAGGUAAUGGCUCACCAAGGCGACGAUCAGUAGCUGGUCUGAGAGGAUGAUCAGCCACAUUGGGACUGAGACACGGCCCAAACUCCUACGGGAGGCAGCAGUGGGGAGUAUUGGACAAUGGGCGCAAGCCUGAUCCAGCCAUGCCGCGUGAGUGAUGAAGGCCCUAGGGUUGUAAAGCUCUUUUGUGCGGGAAGAUAAUGACGGUACCGCAAGAAUAAGCCCCGGCUAACUUCGUGCCAGCAGCCGCGGUAAU